GAAUCUGCAGGCAGAAUAUGAUCGUCUCAAGGAGCAGCAUGAACAUAAAGGCCUGUCCCCACUGCCGUCCCCUCCUGAGAUGAUGCCCACCUCGCCACAAAGUCCCCGGGAUGCUGAGCUCAUUGCUGAGGCCAAGCUACUGCGUCAACACAAAGGCCGCCUGGAAGCCAGGAUGCAAAUCCUGGAAGACCACAAUAAACAGCUGGAGUCCCAGUUACACAGGCUCAGGCAGCUGCUGGAGCAACCCCAGGCCGAGGCCAAGGUGAAUGGCACAACGGUGUCCUCUCCUUCUACCUCUCUUCAGAGGUCAGACAGCAGCCAGCCUAUGCUGCUCCGGGUGGUUGGCAGUCAAACUUCAGAAUCCAUGGGCGAGGAAGACCUUCUCAGUCCUCCCCAGGACUCAAGCACAGGGUUAGAGGAAGUGAUGGAGCAACUCAACAACUCCUUCCCUAGUUCCAGAGGAAGAAAUACCCCUGGGAAGCCAAUGAGAGAGGACACAAUGUAGGAAGCCUUUUCCACUUGGCAGAUGAUUUGGGCAGAGCGAUGGAGUCCUUAGUUUCAGUUAUGACAGAUGAAGAAGGGGCAGAAUAAAUGUUUUACAACUCCUGAUUCCCGCAUGGUUUUUAUAAUAUUCAUACAACCAAGAGGAUUAGACAGUAAGAGUUUACAAGAAAAAAAAAAUCUAUAUUUUUGUGAAGGGUAGUGGUACUAUACUGUAGAUUUCAGUAGUUUCUAAGUCUGUUAUUGUUUUGUUAACAAUGGCAGGUUUUACACGUCUAUGCAAUUGUACAAAAAGUUAUAAGAAAACUACAUGUAAAAUCUUGAUAGCUAAAUAACUUGCCAUUUCUUUAUAUGGAACGCAUUUUGGGUUGUUUAAAAAUUUAUAACAGUUAUAAAGAAAGAUUGUAAACUAAUGUGUGCUUUAUAAAAAAAAAGUUGUUUAUAAAAACCCCUAAAAACAAACACAUACCUACACACACACACACACACGCACACACAAACACACAAACACAAACUGAGGCAGCGCAUUGUUUUGCAUCCUUUUAGCGUGAUAUCCAUAUGAAAUUCAUGGAUUUUUUUUUCUUUUCUUGCAUAUUAAAGAUAGGACUUCCUCUAAGACCACCAAAUGACUACUUCGCAUAGCUCUGUUUGGAAUUGUUGACUGAGUGGGACUGGCCAUGGGUUUUCGUUUUACACAUCUAUAUGUCUAUCAGUAUGUAAGCACUGUAGGUAUACAGGUAAAUAUAAAUUUCAAGAGACAUUUAAAAUUUCUUGUUCAAAUAUUCUUGCCACUUCCUAAUGGGAAGAAAUUGCUUCUCAUCACCCAGGCUCACCUGCUUGGUCUAGAAUGAAUCCUCCCUGGAGCCUGAAGCCAGAAGGAAACUACCACACUAAAACAUGGUCUAGGGUUCCAGAUGUUUCUCAUUUUGAACUUUCCAGUGACAACUAGAGUAUUGAAUUUUUUUAAGGGACAUAUGAAUGAAUACACAGGACUUAUUAUGUCAGAGUAAUCCACUAGUUGAUACAUUCAGCUUCCUGCUGCUGACAAUGCCAUGGUUUAGAGUUAGUGAUGCUUUGAUGAAAGAGCAUCUGAAGGCAUUUUUAACUCCCAGGAGGGCUGUAGAUUCCCUCAGAGAGAGCAGACCACUCUUUAUGUAAAGGAUUGGACGACUGUUUAUAACCUUACAGAGAGAGCUUUAUAAUUACAACGCAGUUAUUUUCUCACAGUCAAACAGCAGUGGGUGUCUCAGUUUUCCAGUUUUGUAAGAUUUUUUUCCCCAUUGCAAUGAGUUUGUAAAUGCCACAAGACUUAAUUUAAAAUAACCCUUGUGAAAAUGUGAAAGACAGUUGCCCCAUCACAUUAUGACACUGUUAAAUAUCCACCCAGACGCCCAAGACCCCUGUGUUCCAGUUCGGCAUUUUUCUCUGUAAGUAAGUCCAGGCAGGUUUGUUGAGUGGGAACGCAAAUGGAUUCAAAUGUUCCAAGAGGUACUCCAAACCCCUUUUUGGUGGAUUAGGCAGGUUAAAUAUAUAUAAGUGAACAGAAAUUGUUCGAAAAGAGGAGUACAGGCAAGAGGACUAACUGGUAGGAAAAAAAGCUUUACUCUUUCAUUCUGUCUUAUUAGUCUUUCACUCUUUUUUAUCAUCCAUUCAAUAGAAAUCACCCUGUGAUCUAUCAUUUUGCAAAUCUGUUACCUCUUACAUCAAGUGUAAUUAACUUUUGGAGAGUGGGUUUUGUUCCUUAUUUUACUAAUGAUAAUUAACAUCAAACAUGGCUUCUCAUGCUAUUUCUACCUCACUUUGGUUUUGGGGUGUUCCUAAUAAUUGUGCAACCUGAUUUCACAGCUUCACCACCUGUCCAUUGUGUGAACAUUUUCCUCCAUUUUCUUUUUCCUUUAUAAUUUCCAAAAGAAAACCCAAAGCUCUAAGGUAACAAAUGACAUGAAGAUUUGAUUUUAGUCUUGGCAUUUUUUUUCCUUAAUGUGACACUGGACUUUUUCUUUACCUGAGGUUUUGGGCUUUUUUUUUUUUUUUUUUAACCAUGAUUUAAAACAAGGGGUUACUUUAUUUCCUACUAAGAAGUUUAAGUUUCAUUCUAAAAUCAGAGGUAAAUAGAGUGCUUGAUUUUGUUUUAAUCUUUUUUGUUUUAUUUUAUCUUUUAGACAUUAGUUCUGGAGUGAGUCUCAAAAUAUUUGAAUAAAAACUGAGAGCUUUAUUGCUACAUUUUACACAUUAAUUUGGACAUUAUUUCAUGUUCCUUAUAACCACCAAGUAGUAAACUGUAAGUCAUAAUGUAACUGAAACAUAAACAUCACAUGGCAUGUUAUGUCAUUGUUUUCAGGUACUGGGUUCUUACUUGCGUAUCGUAAUAUAUUGUGUUUUAACACCAACACUGUAACAUUUACUAAUUAUUUUUUUAAAACUUCAGUUUUACUGCAUUUUCACAACAUAUCAGACUUCACCAAAUAUAUGCCUUACUAUUGUAUUAUAUUACUGCUUUACUGUGUAUUCUCAAUAAAGCACGCAGUUAUGUUACAAAAAAUGUCGACUGCAUUGUUUUUAUUUUAAUUUAGUCACUUUUACAUAGAUAAUACUUUCAUAUUGUCAAAAAAUGAAAAAUGUACACAGCCAGUGAAAAGACCCUCACUACCUUAUUCCCACUUCAUCCUCACUGCCUUCUGAAUAAAUG
rnacentral:lncRNA from 1 species